rnacentral:rRNA from 1 species
UUAAGCGACUAAGCGUACACGGUGGAUGCCCUGGCAGUCAGAGGCGAUGAAGGACGUGCUAAUCUGCGAAAAGCGUCGGUAAGGUGAUAUGAACCGUUACAGCCGGCGAUGUCCGAAUGGGGAAACCCAGUGCAAUUCGUUGCACUAUCGUUAACUGAAUACAUAGGUUAACGAGGCGAACCGGGGGAACUGAAACAUCUAAGUACCCCGAGGAAAAGAAAUCAACCGAGAUUCCCCCAGUAGCGGCGAGCGAACGGGGAGCAGCCCAGAGUCUGAAUCAGCUUGUGUGUUAGUGGAACGGUCUGGAAAGUCCGACGGUACAGGGUGAUAGUCCCGUACACCAAAAUGCACAGGUUGUGAACUCGAAGAGUAGGGCGGGACACGUGGUAUCCUGUCUGAAUAUGGGGGGACCAUCCUCCAAGGCUAAAUACUCCUGACUGACCGAUAGUGAACCAGUACCGUGAGGGAAAGGCGAAAAGAACCCCGGCGAGGGGAGUGAAAAAGAACCUGAAACCGUGUACGUACAAGCAGUGGGAGCACCUUCGGGUGUGACUGCGUACCUUUUGUAUAAUGGGUCAGCGACUUAUAUUCUGUAGCAAGGUUAACCGUAUAGGGGAGCCGCAGGGAAACCGAGUCUUAACUGGGCGUUAAGUUGCAGGGUAUAGACCCGAAACCCGGUGAUCUAGCCAUGGGCAGGUUGAAGGUUGGGUAACACUAACUGGAGGACCGAACCGACUAAUGUUGAAAAAUUAGCGGAUGACUUGUGGCUGGGGGUGAAAGGCCAAUCAAACCGGGAGAUAGCUGGUUCUCCCCGAAAGCUAUUUAGGUAGCGCCUCGUGAACUCAUCUUCGGGGGUAGAGCACUGUUUCGGCUAGGGGGUCAUCCCGACUUACCAACCCGAUGCAAACUACGAAUACCGAAGAAUGUUAUCACGGGAGACACACGGCGGGUGCUAACGUCCGUCGUGAAGAGGGAAACAACCCAGACCGCCAGCUAAGGUCCCAAAGUCAUGGUUAAGUGGGAAACGAUGUGGGAAGGCACAGACAGCCAGGAUGUUGGCUUAGAAGCAGCCAUCAUUUAAAGAAAGCGUAAUAGCUCACUGGUCGAGUCGGCCUGCGCGGAAGAUGUAACGGGGCUAAACCAUGCACCGAAGCUGCGGCAGCGACGCUUAUGCGUUGUUGGGUAGGGGAGCGUUCUGUAAGCCUGCGAAGGUGGCCUGUGAGGGCUGCUGGAGGUAUCAGAAGUGCGAAUGCUGACAUAAGUAACGAUAAAGCGGGUGAAAAGCCCGCUCGCCGGAAGACCAAGGGUUCCUGUCCAACGUUAAUCGGGGCAGGGUGAGUCGACCCCUAAGGCGAGGCCGAAAGGCGUAGUCGAUGGGAAACAGGUUAAUAUUCCUGUACUUGGUGUUACUGCGAAGGGGGGACGGAGAAGGCUAUGUUAGCCGGGCGACGGUUGUCCCGGUUUAAGCAUGUAGGCGGAGGUUCCAGGUAAAUCCGGUACCUUUUAACGCUGAGGUGUGAUGACGAGGCACUACGGUGCUGAAGUAACAAAUGCCCUGCUUCCAGGAAAAGCCUCUAAGCAUCAGGUAACAUUAAAUCGUACCCCAAACCGACACAGGUGGUCAGGUAGAGAAUACCAAGGCGCUUGAGAGAACUCGGGUGAAGGAACUAGGCAAAAUGGUGCCGUAACUUCGGGAGAAGGCACGCUGGUGUGUAGGUGAAGUCCCUGCGGAUGGAGCUGAGACCAGUCGAAGAUACCAGCUGGCUGCAACUGUUUAUUAAAAACACAGCACUGUGCAAACACGAAAGUGGACGUAUACGGUGUGACGCCUGCCCGGUGCCGGAAGGUUAAUUGAUGGGGUUAUCCGUAAGGAGAAGCUCUUGAUCGAAGCCCCGGUAAACGGCGGCCGUAACUAUAACGGUCCUAAGGUAGCGAAAUUCCUUGUCGGGUAAGUUCCGACCUGCACGAAUGGCGUAAUGAUGGCCAGGCUGUCUCCACCCGAGACUCAGUGAAAUUGAACUCGCUGUGAAGAUGCAGUGUACCCGCGGCAAGACGGAAAGACCCCGUGAACCUUUACUAUAGCUUGACACUGAACAUUGAGCCUUGAUGUGUAGGAUAGGUGGGAGGCUUUGAAGCGUGGACGCCAGUCUGCGUGGAGCCAACCUUGAAAUACCACCCUUUAAUGUUUGAUGUUCUAACGUUGGCCCCUAAUCGGGGUUGCGGACAGUGUCUGGUGGGUAGUUUGACUGGGGCGGUCUCCUCCCAAAGAGUAACGGAGGAGCACGAAGGUUAGCUAAUCCUGGUCGGACAUCAGGAGGUUAGUGCAAUGGCAUAAGCUAGCUUGACUGCGAGCGUGACGGCGCGAGCAGGUGCGAAAGCAGGUCAUAGUGAUCCGGUGGUUCUGAAUGGAAGGGCCAUCGCUCAACGGAUAAAAGGUACUCCGGGGAUAACAGGCUGAUACCGCCCAAGAGUUCAUAUCGACGGCGGUGUUUGGCACCUCGAUGUCGGCUCAUCACAUCCUGGGGCUGAAGUAGGUCCCAAGGGUAUGGCUGUUCGCCAUUUAAAGUGGUACGCGAGCUGGGUUUAGAACGUCGUGAGACAGUUCGGUCCCUAUCUGCCGUGGGCGCUGGAGAAUUGAGGGGGGCUGCUCCUAGUACGAGAGGACCGGAGUGGACGCAUCACUGGUGUUCGGGUUGUCAUGCCAAUGGCACUGCCCGGUAGCUAAAUGCGGAAGAGAUAAGUGCUGAAAGCAUCUAAGCACGAAACUUGCCCCGAGAUGAGUUCUCCCUGAGACUAUAAGUCUCCUGAAGGAACGUUGAAGACGACGACGUUGAUAGGCCGGGUGUGUAAGCGCAGCGAUGCGUUGAGCUAACCGGUACUAAUGAACCGUGAGGCUUAACCUU